CAUGCAAGUCGAGCGGUAAGGCCCCUUCGGGGGUACACGAGCGGCGAACGGGUGAGUAACACGUGAGCAAUCUGCCCUUUACACGGGGAUAACCACCGGAAACGGUGGCUAAUACCCGAUACGACCACUUCAGGCAUCUGAUGGUGGUGGAAAGUUCCGGCGGUGGAGGAUGAGCUCGCGGCCUAUCAGCUUGUUGGUGGGGUAAUGGCCUACCAAGGCAACGACGGGUAGCCGGCCUGAGAGGGUGACCGGCCACACUGGGACUGAGACACGGCCCAGACUCCUACGGGAGGCAGCAGUGGGGAAUAUUGGACAAUGGGCGAAAGCCUGAUCCAGCAACGCCGCGUGAGGGAUGACGGCCUUCGGGUUGUAAACCUCUUUCAGCAGGGACGAAGCGCAAGUGACGGUACCUGCAGAAGAAGCACCGGCCAACUACGUGCCAGCAGCCGCGGUAAUACGUAGGGUGCGAGCGUUGUCCGGAAUUAUUGGGCGUAAAGGGCUCGUAGGCGGUUUGUCGCGUCGGGAGUGAAAACUCAGGGCUUAACCCUGAGCCUGCUUCCGAUACGGGCAGACUAGAGGUAUGCAGGGGAGAACGGAAUUCCUGGUGU
rnacentral:rRNA from 1 species